rnacentral:rRNA from 1 species
UACGUAGGGGGCAAGCGUUGUCCGGAAUCAUUGGGCGUAAAGAGCGUGUAGGCGGCCCGAUAAGUCCGCUGUGAAAGUCCAGGGCUCAACCCUGGGAUGCCGGUGGAUACUGUCGAGCUAGAGUCCGGAAGAGGCGAGUGGAAUUCCUGGUGUAGCGGUGAAAUGCGCAGAUAUCAGGAGGAACACCAAUGGCGAAGGCAGCUCGCUGGGACGGUACUGACGCUGAGACGCGAAAGCGUGGGGAGCAAACAGG